GGCUCUAUGGCUUAGCUGGUUAAAGUGCCUGUCUCGUAAACAGGAGGUCCUGGGUUCGACUCCCCGUAGGGCCU
rnacentral:tRNA from 1 species